AUUGAACGCUGGCGGCAGGCCUAACACAUGCAAGUCGAGCGGAGCGGCGGACGCGUGAGGAAUGCCAAGGAAUCUGCCUGGUAGUGGGGGAUAACGUCCGGAAACGGGCGCUAAUACCGCUAACUAUCAGAUGCGGCUAGGUCGGAUUAGGUAGUUGGGGGGGUAAAGGCCUACCAAGGCGACGAUCCGUAACUGGUCUGAGAGGAUGAUCAGUCACACUGGAACUGAGACACGGUCCAGACUCCUACGGGAGGCAGCAGUGGGGAAUAUUGGACAAUGGGCGAAAGCCUGAUGCAGCCAUGCCGCGUGUAUGAAGAAGGUCUUCGGAUUGUAAAGCACUUUAAGUUGGGAGGCGUUACCAACAGAAUAAGCACCGGCUAACUCCGUGCCAGCAGCCGCGGUAAUUC
rnacentral:rRNA from 1 species